CACAGCAGAAAGGACCGUGUAUUGGUUAAGCAUAUAAGGAGUAGAAAAGAAACAAGGUCAAGGGACAUGGUGACUCUUCGUUUAAAAAGGAAGCAAUUUCAUCCUGUUAGCAUCUUCAUUUAAAAAGGAAGCGAUUUCAUCCUGUGAGCAUUUAAACCACAAUGUUGACCAGAUCUGGAAGAUAACCUGGCUGUCAGAACCAUUGGUUUUGAAGAUGUGGUAAACUGAGGCAACAGGGACCUCAAGCAAGUUCUCCCAGAUCAUUAACCUUGGGGAAGUCACUCAAUCUCUCUGGGACUUCCUUACCUACAAACUGGAUCUAACAGUACAGAUUCUACCCAGCUUCCGGGAACGAAAUGAAAUGCUGCAUGUGAAAACACACUGGAAACUUAAAAUGCUAAUCAAAGAUGAGUUAUGAUUGUUGUAUCUGAAUCCAGUGCUACAAAUGCUAUGGCAUGUGGUCAUCUAACCAAAUUUUCUUAGAUUAUUUGGAGAAGGGGGUGGGUGUUACAGUCCAAUACAGCAAUGAGGUAGAGCUUUAAGUUAUAGGAAGGAAACUUUAAAUUGCCAACCAUUGCUAUUUCAGAGACAUCAUGAGGAUGUGAAAUCACUUUGGAGCAUACCUGCUUUAUUUUGAGAUGAGUCAUUUGAAUGGAUCCUUUUUAGUAUUGUUGACAUAGUAAGAUACUUAUUAUUCUGGUGGCAGUGCAACGGGUAUUAUUUUAGUUUUGGUUUUGGUUUGCUUGACUAGGGCUUGCAACUUUAGCACUGCAGGCAGCUGGAAUCUUGCUGCCAAAAUGAUUGGUUUGGGAAGUGGGCGUAUGGCCAGAAAGUCCCAUCAGAAUUA